CGCAGCAGGUGCGAAAAUUCCGCAAUGCGUGCAAGCGCGACGGAGUGACCCCCAGUGCCGAUGGUCUAACGAUCGUCGGCUUUUCUGGAGUGUAAAAAGCUCUGGGUAAUAAGGGCCGGGUAAGACUGGUGCCAGCCGCCGCGGUAACACCAGCGGCUCAAGUGGUAGUCGAUUUUAUUGGGUCUAAAGCGUCCGUAGCCGGAUCGUCAAGUCCCUUGUGAAAUCGGGCGGCUUAACCGCUCGGCUUGCAAGAGAAACUGACGUUCUUGGGGUCGGCAGGCGCCGAGGGUACUCCGGAGGUAGCGGUGAAAUGCUAUAAUCUUCGGGGGACCGCCGGUGGCGAAAGCGCUCGGCGGGGCCGAACCCGACGGUGAGGGACGAAGGCCAGGGGAGCGAACCGGAUUAGAUACCCGGGUAGUCCUGGCUGUAAAGUAUGUGGGCCAGGUGCCAGACGUUCCUCGAGAGCGCUUGGUGCCGAAGGGAAGCCGUUAAGCCCACCACCUGGGGAGUACGGUCGCAAGACUGAAACUUAAAGAAAUUGGCGGGGGAGCACCACAAGGGGUGGAGCCUGCGGUUUAAUUGGAUUCAACGCCGGACAUCUCACCGGGGGCGACGGCAGAGUGAAGGCCAAGUUGACGACUUUGCCGGACUCGCCGAGAGGUGGUGCAUGGCCGCCGUCAGCUCGUAUCGUGAGACGUCCUGUCAAGUCAGGUAACGAGCGAGACCCUUAUCCUUAGUUGCCAGCGGAUCCCUCUGGGAUGCCGGGCACUCUAAGGAGACCGCUGUCGAUAAGGCAGAGGAAGGAGAGGGCGACGGUAGGUCCGUAUGCCCCGAAUCCCCCGGGCAACACGCGGGCUACAAUGCGCGGGACAGAGGGCUGCGACCCCGAGAGGGGAAGCCGAUCCCUAAACCUGCGCCUAGUUCGGAUCGAGGGCUGCAACUCGCCCUCGUGAAGCUGGAAUCCCUAGUAAUCGCGUGUCACUAUCGCGCGGUGAAUACGUCCCUGCUCCUUGCACACACCGCCCGUCAAGCCAUCCGAGUGGGAUUUGGAUGAGGCUUACUCGACAUGAGUGGGUCAAAUCCGGGUUCUGCAAGGAGGGCUAAGUCG
rnacentral:rRNA from 1 species